AGUCACUGACAUUAGAUACCCGGGUAGUCCAGGGUGUAAACGCUGCCGACUUGGUGUUGGAGGCCCUUCGGGGGCAUUCAGUGCCGGAGAGAAGUUGUUAAGUCGGCCACUUGGGGAGUACGUCCGCAAGGAUGAAACUUAAAGGAAUUGGCGGGGGAGCACCGCAACGGGAGGAGCGUGCGGUUUAAUUUGGAUUCAACACCGUAAAACUCACCAGGGAAGACUGUUACAUGAAGGCCGAGAUGAAGACUCUGCUAGAUUUUCAG
rnacentral:rRNA from 1 species